rnacentral:rRNA from 1 species
GUGCCAGCAGCCGCGGUAAUACGUAGGGGGCCAGCGUUGUCCGGAUUCAUUGGGCGUAAAGCGCGUGUAGGCGGCCAGAUAGGUCUGGUGUGAAAACUGGAGGCUCAACCUCCAGCCGUCAUCGGAAACCAUCUGGCUAGAGUCCGGAAGAGGAGAGUGGAAUUCCUGGUGUAGCGGUGAAAUGCGCAGAUAUCAGGAAGAACACCCAUGGCGAAGGCAGCUCUCUGGGACGGUACUGACGCUGAGACGCGAAAGCGUGGGGAGCGAACAGGAUUAGAAACCCCCGUAGUCC